UUUCUAAUAAAGACAUCUCUCUCUCCUAGUCUGGCGGAGCUGGAGGCCCUCCUUGGGAAGGCUUGAGGCUUGAAUAGAAUUGGAGAGUGAGGUAAAUGCAGGGAUGAUGUAAUUGUCAGAUCUCCCCCACCCAGCUGGUGCCCUCCACGUUACCUGCAUGUCUGAGAAAGUUCUCAAGAGCAGCGAGGAUUGGAUUCAGAGACUGAUCCAAGACAUGGUAACCUCUUGGAAAUGGAGAAUCAGUGAUUGUUCACUUUACUGAGAUGGAAAACACAAGGAGGUUGACAGCCAUUGUGGAGGCACCCAAAACACCAAAAGGAGGUUAGUUACUGAUGCUCUCUGUGUUCAUUGUCUUCUGCUUCAAUUAUGUCUUUCUAGAUG
rnacentral:lncRNA from 1 species